CUCUGACUGAGUCUGACUUACAAUGAGGCCAAAGUGGACCCUCCCCCCUUAACCAGUGACAUAACCAACCACUGUGCUGACAGCGUUUAUGAGGCAGGUCACACCCCUCGUGCUGAGUACAGUGCGUCACAAAGCAUGGAGAGUGCUCGAUGAAAUUAACCAUCAUGCCGCUUGUCAGCUCCAUCACCACACUUUCCUGCAGCCCCCAAAGAAAGCAUGGCUUUAACAUAACUAGAACACUGAGUCCCAAGCAGGGCCACUAUAAGGAAGGCUGGGGUGGCCUGAUAAAGGCAUCACCCCUCUUUCCAGAAGGGACGCUGUGAUGGCCACUCAACCAGUUGCUGGGGUCUUUUCCACUAGCAAAGUCGUUAGCGCUCUCCCCCUGGGGGGCCAUUUUAUCAGGCCGCUAAGGGAAGGGGAAGUAAACCGGGGUCCACGGAAAGGAACUGCAAGGGCAUGGUGACAUCAGCCGUGGGAAGGGAGAGAAAGCAAGGCCACCCGCUCCAACAAGCAGAAGCCGCAAGGCUGCAGGUCCAUCUUCCAGCCCUGAGCACCGCUGCAACUGUGCUCAGCAACCAGGCAUCAGUGGGGCCUCAGAAGGGCUCAGGACGGGGUUUACUGAUGAGUAUCAUCCAACCCCCUUGAAUCUACCCAGCUUCGUAAGCCGCUCUUCAAGCAAUCUCAACCCCAGCCCAUGGGCUUCCUGGCUGAGUGAAUUAUCUUCUGGGCAAAACUGUCAUGCAGUGACAGACUGAGUGAAUCGAUGUAAACGGAAUGAGGACUGAUGUGGGUCAUAGUUACAGAGGUUUCUGACUGUGCUUUCCACCCGGAACAUCAGGGCAGGAGGACCUGGGAGCAGAAUGAUACUGUGCUGGUGCCUCAUUUCCAACCUCCCUCAUAGCCCGGUGUACCUGUGUGACAUUAACAUCUGGCCAAUGACGUACAAAUAAGAGCAUUUCAAGCCCUUCUCCAGCCCUUCAUCAUCUACUGCUGGAGAGCCAAUCUGACGGCUGGUGCUCGGGCAACCACCUUGGAACACACAGACAAGAGA